rnacentral:rRNA from 1 species
GACGAACGCUGGCGGCGUGCUUAACACAUGCAAGUCGAACGGAAAGGCCUCUUUCGGGGGGUACUCGAGUGGCGAACGGGUGAGUAACACGUGAGUAACCUGCCCUUGACUUUGGGAUAACUUCAGGAAACUGGGGCUAAUACCGGAUAGGAGCUCCCGCUGCAUGGUGGGGGUUGGAAAGUUUCGGCGGUUGGGGAUGGACUCGCGGCUUAUCAGCUUGUUGGUGGGGUAGUGGCUUACCAAGGCUUUGACGGGUAGCCGGCCUGAGAGGGUGACCGGCCACAUUGGGACUGAGAUACGGCCCAGACUCCUACGGGAGGCAGCAGUGGGGAAUAUUGCACAAUGGGUGGAAGCCUGAUGCAGCAACGCCGUGUGCGGGAUGACGGCCUUCGGGUUGUAAACCGCUUUCGCUCAUGACGAAGCUUUGUGUGACGGUAGUGGGUAAAGAAGCACCGGCUAACUACGUG